rnacentral:rRNA from 1 species
AAAAGCUUCUAAGCGUUGAAGCGUUUGUGACCGUACUAAAACUGACACAGGUAGGCGAGACGAGUAGUCUAAGGCGCUCGGGAUAACGGUGGUUAAGGAACUCUGCAAAAUGACCCCGUACGUUCGCAAUAAGGGGUGCCCCUGAUGGUUAACGCUGUUGGGGGCCACAGAUAAUCGGCUUUUGCGACUGUUUAUCAAAAACACAGGACUCUGCUAACUCGCAAGAGGAUGUAUAGAGUCUGACGCCUGCCCGGUGCCGGUAGGUUAAGGAAGGCGGUUAUCCACUUCGGUGGAGAAGCUGGCGACCGAAGCCCCGGUAAACGGCGGCCGUAACUAUGACGGUCCUAAGGUAGCGAAGUUCCUUGUCGGGUAAGUUCCGACCUGCAUGAAUGGCGUAACGACAGGAGCACUGUCUCAACCACCGACCCGGUGAAAUUGUAGUCGUGGUGAAGAUGCCACGUGCCCGCGGUUAGACGGAAAGACCCCGUGAACCUUUACUGUAGGCUGAUAUUGGGCUGAGGUAUGUCUUGUGUAGGAUAGGUGGGAGACUGUGAGACGGGAGCGCUAGCUCUCGUGGAGUCAUCCUUGAAAUACCACCCUGGAUAUGCUUUAGUUCUAACGUUGAUCCCGUGAAUCCGGGCAACGGACAUUGUCAGUUGGGCAGUUUGACUGGGGCGGUCUCCUCCAAAAAAGUAACGGAGGAGUACAAAGGUACCCUCAGCCUGGUUGGCAAUCAGGCGUAGAGCGUAAAGGUAGAAGGGUGCUUAACUGCGAGACUCAUCAGUCGAGCAGAUACGAAAGUAGGUCUUAGUGAUCCUGUGGUUCCGUAUGGAAGGGCCAUAGCUCAUCAGAUAAAAGGUACUCCGGGGAUAACAGGCUUAUCGCCACCGAGCGUCCACAGCGGCGUGGCGGUUUGGCACCUCGAUGUCGGCUCAUCACAUCCUGGGGGUGAAGAAGCUCCCAAGGGUUUGGCUGUUCGCCAAUGAAAGUGGUACGUGAGCUGGGUUCAGACCGUCGUGAGACAGGUCGGUCCCUAUCUGCCGUGGGCGUGCGAAACUUGAGGAGGUUCUUCUUUAGUACGAGAGGAUUUAGAAGGACGUAGCUCUGGUGUACCAGUUGUCGCGCUAGCGGCACGGCUGGAUAGCUAUCUACGGAAAGGAUAAACGCUGAAAGCAUCUAAGCGUGAAGCCCUCUCCAAGAUUAGGUUCCGUAAUCCGCAUUGCGGAGAAAGUCCCCUGGAAGACUACCAGGUUGAUAGGCCAGAUGUGUAAGCACAGUAAUGUGUUCAGCUAACUGGUACUAAUGGACGAAAGCUUGGCCAC